rnacentral:rRNA from 1 species
GCAGCAGUAGGGAAUCUUCCACAAUGGACGCAAGUCUGAUGGAGCAACGCCGCGUGAGUGAAGAAGGGUUUCGGCUCGUAAAGCUCUGUUGUUAAAGAAGAACGUGUGGUGAGAGUAACUGUUCACCCAGUGACGGUAUUUAACCAGAAAGCCACGGCUAACUACGUGCCAGCAGCCGCGGUAAUACGUAGGUGGCAAGCGUUAUCCGGAUUUAUUGGGCGUAAAGCGAGCGCAGGCGGUCUUUUAAGUCUAAUGUGAAAGCCUUCGGCUCAACCGAAGAAGUGCAUUGGAAACUGGGAGACUUGAGUGCAGAAGAGGACAGUGGAACUCCAUGUGUAGCGGUGAAAUGCGUAGAUAUAUGGAAGAACACCAGUGGCGAAGGCGGCUGUCUGGUCUGUAACUGACGCUGAGGCUCGAAAGCAUGGGUAGCGAACAGGAUUAGAUACCCUGGUAGUCCAUGCCGUAAACGAUGAUUACUAAGUGUUGGAGGGUUUCCGCCCUUCAGUGCUGCAGCUAACGCAUUAAGGAAUCCGCCUGGGGAGUACGACCGCAAGGUUGAAACUCAAAG